rnacentral:misc_RNA from 1 species
GAUGAAGAACGCAGCGAAAUGCGAUACGUAAUGUGAAUUGCAGAAUUCAGUGAAUCAUCGAAUCUUUGAACGCAUAUUGCGCUCUUUGGUAUUCCGAAGAGCAUGCUUGUUUGAGUAUCAGUAAACACCUCAAAGCUUUGGAUUUUUUAAUCGAAAAGCUUUGGACUUGAGCAAUCCCAACACCAAUCUUUUUGAGAUCGGUGGCGGGUUGCUUGAAAUGCAGGUGCAGCUGGACAUUCUCCUGAGCUAAAAGCAUAUUCAUUUAGUCCGGUCAAACGGCUUAUUACUUUUGCUGCAGCUAACAUAAAGGGAGUUUGACCGUAUUGGCUGACUGAUGCAGGAUUUCACAAGGGUCGGCAACGAUUCUUGUUAAACUCGAUCUCAAAUCAAGUAAGACUACCCGCUGAACUUAAGCAUAUCAAUAAGCGGAGGA